UCCCAGGUGGCUUAGUGGGUAAAGAACCUGCCUGCAAUGCAGGAGACGUAGGUUUGAUCCCUGGGGU
rnacentral:tRNA from 1 species